rnacentral:rRNA from 1 species
GUCCACGCCUUAAACUAUGAAUACUAAGUGUCGGCGGUUUACCGCCGGUGCCGCAGCUAACGCAUUAAAGUAUUCCCGCCUGGGGAAGUACGGCCGCAAGGUUGAAACUCAAAGGAAAUUGACGGGGGCCCGGCACAAGCGGUGGAGCAUGUGGUUUAAUUCGACGCAACGCGAAGAACCUUACCCAGGCUGGACAUGCAGGUAGUAGAAGGGUGAAAGCCCAACGAGGUAGCAAUACCAUCCUGCUCAGGUGCUGCAUGGCUGUCGU